rnacentral:rRNA from 1 species
AAUUUUCCGCAAUGGACUACAGGCUGACGGAGCAACGCCGCGUGAUUGACGAAUGCUUUCGGAUCUUGGAACUCUGUUGUUAUGGAGGAACAAGUAUCGGAGUCACUACCGGUACCUUGACGGUACCUGACGUGAAAGCCACGGCUAACUACGCUCCAGCAGCCGCGUUAAUACGUAGGCGGCAAGCGUUGUCCUGAUUUAUUGGGCGUAUAGAGGGCGCAGGGGGUCUUUUUAGUCUGAUGUAGAAUCUUACGGCUUAACUGUAAGCGGUCGUUGGAAACUGGGGGACUUGAGUGCAGAAGAGGGGAGUGGGAUUCCAUGUGUAGCGGUGAAAUGCAUAGAGAUAUGGGGGAACACAAGUGGGGAAGGCGACUCUCUGGUCUGUCACUGACGCUGAGGCGCGAAAGCGUGGGGAUCAAACA